rnacentral:misc_RNA from 1 species
GGACAAGAGACGACUGUUCUUCGGGUCCUUACGACCUUAGAGGCAACCUGGAGAGCCAUCAGGUUUAGGAUCCCUGUAUGCCACCCGCGUAACCCGGUGAAUCGCGGAAUUGGGCCGUUUCACCGGUUUCCGUGUCAGAACUAACGGUUAUAAAGCAUCCCCCUCUGAGGAACUAGCGCCCGCAGGCUUAAUCUUCAGAGAAAAUCGCCGGGGCCCCGCCACCAGCGCGCACCAUGCCGUAUUAUUAGAUGCAACGAGAACACCUUUCCUUGCGCUUCGACAUGUUCCCGAUGAUCCCAGAUGAUGGUGUUCUCUCUUCGGCGCGUGUUCAGCAUGUGCAUCAUGGUCGUCGUCACGUAGUAGUCGUGAGUAUGUGGGAUGUAGUCCCACCAACGAGCACACUCUCGCCGCCGUUGUUACCAGCUGAUGACCGCCGGGAUCAUCACGGGUCCCCCCCGGUGAUUACUAGGAGGAUGUGGAGGAUGUCUUCAUCAUCAUCAUCCCCAUGUCGUCCAGGUCUCACGCAUGCAACAGCGGCUGCAACAAGAGGAGACACCACGACGAGCUGAGGAGCUUCCAUAACAGCUGUCAUCUGUGAGGACAGCAUUCUGCACUUCGACGGGAAGAAGGAGUAGUUAGUAAUAUUGAAUAAUCACCAUCGCGGCGAAGAAGCUGUUCCGCGUCCUACACCCCCCCCCCCAACACGUCAAAAAGGUCGGCACCCCCAGAAGCCGGCGUCCUACCCCCUGGGGGGGGGCACCCUUAAAAGAGGAGCUUGAUGAUGGGGAAUAAGUGGCAACAAGGUAGCCCUCCAGGAAGGGGCGGCUUCACCUCCUCUUUUCUACGAAGAAUCCGGCAGGAUUUUCUUCCGGCGGGGGGUCCCCCGUCGCGGCGGCAGCGGCGGCGUUUGGGGGCUGGUGUGGAGGAGAUCAUCAGGGGUUUUCGGGUCUUCCUUGGGGGGUUCUUCGGGGGGGGUGUGGAGGAGCCGUUUUGGGCCUCCCGGAUCACCCCCCCAGCCUUCGGCCUGGCGCGAUUCGAUGCCCAUCCUGCCUGAUGGCGGGCUGGUCCCGUCCGGACGGCGUGGUGGUGCGUGGUGGCUUGAGAACUGGAUAGUGGACGCGAGCAAGACGGGGUUUCCUUUGAUUCCUCUUUCUUGCUGUUGAUUUAGAAUCGAACUCUAUUUUUAGUGUUUGUUUCGAUCGUUUUGUGAUCAUUUUAGUGUGAUGAUUUGUCGUCUGGGAAUUUGCUAGGAAGGAUCCUUGCGGCCAUGCGCAUCCGUGGGGACCCC